rnacentral:rRNA from 1 species
GCCUGCCCAGUGAAUAAAUUCAACGGCCACGGUAUAUUGACCGUGCAAAGGUAGCAUAAUCACUCGUUCUUUAAAUAGGGACCAGUAUCAACGGCAUCACGAGGGUUGCACUGUCUCCUUUCUCCAAUCAGUGAAACUGAUCUUCCUGUGAAAAAGCAGGAAUACACCUAUAAGACGAGAAGACCCCAUGGAGCUUUAAAUCUAUGGCAACUCAGUUAUAUGUUCAACAAAAAUACAGAGCCGUGCCUAUCGGUUUUAAGUUGGGGCGACCACGGAGUAAAAAUUAACCUCCGUAACGAAAAGAACUAAAUCUUUAUCCAAGAAUCACCACUUCUAAGAAUUAGCACACUAACGUAAAAUGACCCGAUAUUCGAUCAACGAACUUAGUUACCCUGGGGAUAACAGCGCAAUCCACUUCGAGAGUUCAUAUCGACAAGUGGGCUUACGACCUCGAUGUUGGAUCAGGGUU